GGCGGGAGGGGGGAGGGAGAGGCAGGUUCAGCUGUGUUGUCUCCGCCAUAGCUCUGCCUCACCCUUGGUCACUACCGCACCGCAAUUUAUCGCUAUUGAACACCGAAGAGGCGUGGUCUCUCGCUGCUGUCGUAGCUUCUCUCGCACCGAGUUGACGCACUGAAGGGGUAGGAGGAGCUGGAGGAGAAGGAGGAAUUCGGAAGUCUCAAGGUUGAGGUUGGGAGAUUGAUGCAGGGGGGAGCAUCGUCCAGUGGCGGCCCUGGAUCGCUGGGCCAGCAAGUGAGGCAAAUGGGGGCACCGCCGGGAGGGGGAGGAGGAGGGUCCAGUGCUAAACGGGGGAAGGGCCCUUUGGGAGGAACAGUUCGGGUUGGAAUGCGUCCAAAAUCCGUGGGGGCGAACAAUGCGGGCGGGAAUGCGUCGUCUGCAUUCAAGACGACAGACGUGAUGCCCGCAGCGAUGCGAAAGAAGCAGAAAGUGGCGGAGAGGCGCAUCCCUGACAAGGUUGCUGCGGUGUUGCCUGAAGGUGCGGUGUACACCGAGCUCGUGGAGUUUGAGGCGCGCGUGGAUGCGGCAUUGGCCAGGAAAAAGCUCGAUAUUCAGGAGGUUAUGCGAUUGCCGCCUCCUGUGGAGCGUGUUUUGAGAAUUCAUAUCUCUAAUACUUUUGAUAAUCAGACCCAAAACCCUAACCCUCCGUUUCAGCAGCAUUGCGCGGAGCCUCCUCCAUCGUGGACACUGAGAAUUAUGGGGUAUGUUCUAGAGAGUGAUGAUGCGGAGCCUGUCGAUGGGAAUGGCCCGAAGCUGGCGAACCCGUCGUUGCCUAAAAUGUCGUCGUUUUUCAAGAGAAUUACCAUCCAAUUAGAUCCGAUUCAUUACCCGGAUAAUAAUACAAUUGUAUGGGAUAGUGCCAGGGCUUCUGAGCAUGUUGAGGGUUUCGAGAUUAAGAGACGGGGAAAUGUUGAGUGUGAUGUUAGCAUACGGUUGGAAAUGGAUCAUUCCCCGGAGAGGUUUAAGCUAUCACCUGCUCUGGCUCAAGUUCUUGGCGUUGAGGUGGAUUCACGGACGCAUAUAUGUGCGGCCGUGUGGCAAUAUAUAAAAAUCAAGAAGCUCCAGAAUCAUGUGGACCCGACCAUGAUCGACUGUGAUGCUGCAUUGCGAAGAAUUUUCGGUGAUGAGAGAAUAAAAUUUGCGUCAAUUUCUGCAAGACUACACCAGCAUUUGAGUCCUCUACAGCCCAUACAUCUGCAGCAUAGAAUUAAGGUGUCGGGGAGUAUCCCAGCAGGGAACGCAUGCUACGAUGUCAGCGUCAACCUUCCAGCGCCUCUACUGAAAGAAAUGAACCAGUUCCUGACCAACAUUGAGAAGCAUAGGGAUAUCGAUCUUCAUGAUGACGUGAUAGAGAACACUAUACGGAAAAUCAGCGAGCAUCGCCGGAGGCGUGCUUACUUCCUGGGAUUCAGUCACUCUCCGGUGGAUUUCAUCAAUGGCUUGGUUGCUUCUCAAAGUCGGGACCUUAAGAUGGUUGUUGGGCAGAACAAUCGGAACGCGGAGAAGGAGCGAAGAUCUGACUUCUACAAUCAACCUUGGGUGGAAGAUUCAGUAAUUCGCUAUUUGAAUCGACGACCAGCAAAGGCCUCUGAAGCUCCAGGGAUUCAUCCAUAAGCACUUCAGGACUUCGUGCGCUUUAUGAUCAUAUUCUCCUGCUGUAAACUAGUGCAAACAGUAAAAUCCCAGGGUGAUCAUCACGUUUUGAAGUAUUUGAUGGUGGCUGCUCACGACCGUGAUAUACACUUGAUUAUGUCUAUCAGUCAUGCCAAAGCAUCCAUAGACCUGGGAAAGGAACACCCCUUUCUGAGCUGGGACUUCAACAUUAUGCAGGAGAGGUAGUCUUUUCAUAGGUUUGUGUUCAUGGUGCCCUUUCUGGUUGGAUUUAACAUUCAAGAACUGUUCUCUGCUUUGUGAAUCUGUAUUCACUUGGGUUGUUUUUCUUUGCAUCUGGUUUGGCACGGCUUCAGUCAGUUACAAGAAAUUUACUCGCUCGUGUCAGUUCAUGUUGGAUGAUGAAGUCAUGAUUUUUUCAUGUCUUGGUUCCGGUAUAGAAGUAUAGCUUCAGGUCCAUGAGGGGAUGGAAAUCUCAUGUUUAAACCAAGUGAAAUGAGUUUCUUAUUAGAUUUUAUUAAUGACAUUAUAUUCCUAUCUCCUUGUUUAAGUUCCACUGCAUGUACCGUCUAUCAAAUUUCAUACAUGAUACUAAUAUCUGCCCGCUAUAUUAUUCUAACUAAUAAUCUAAUGAUUCAUAUAUCAAUUUAUUCUAUAUUUCAGUUUUUCCUUUCAAUGAAUUCUUUAUUUUAUUGAAAUUGAUUUAUUUUAAUUCUCUUACUAAAAUGUACAAUGACUGGUAUCUCUUCAAGUGAUUAAGGAGUACAUUGUAGGCCGUUUUUGAUCAUGUAUCUUCAACGAGAACUAUCAAAUUGUGCAGUUCAAGGUUUGCAACGCGAAUUUAUGAAAGUCACUGUGAAUCCUGGAAAUUACCAUUCCACAGAAAAGUCAAAUAAUCUCGACUGAGGCAAGCUCAUCUCACUCCAUUCUGGAUAAAAAAGGAAACUUGCACAGAAGCAGCUCAGGUUCCAGAAGUCUUGGCGUGAUGCUCCUUCAUCGCAUUUGUCAAUAACAGUCGGCAUCGACUGUAUCCCACCAGCCGACUGUGAAGCCUGCCGAUUCCCGGUUUUACUUACAUGAUUGUAAGUCGAGCCCAAAUCGAAGAACACUCUGCCUACAAAUUGCUUUUUUUUAUGACUGGGUAACUCUUGCAGACCUGUGCUACGAUGAUUUUGCACCCAGUUUUUGCACAUCCUUUCCAGAGUCUGAUCGUUCUUUGCACCAUGCAGUCUCCGAAGAUAGUUGCAACAACACAGACUUGUGUAGCAGACUAGACUUACAUCGUUGACGCCCAUUUCCAGCCCCUGCUCCAUGCACGAUGCUGGGACAUCGUGACAUGUUUCUCCAAGGGAUGCUGCUGCAAUGGAUUAGAUACACUUAUCGGUGUGUUGAUAUAUUUAUUUACAUAAUUAGUAAUCAAGUGCAUAAAACCAAAUUAUUUUAUAAAGAAUCCAUGAGUGAUUUGUAAUAAUUUUAAA